rnacentral:lncRNA from 1 species
AAUGUUGAAAUAUAUUCUGCAUUCAAUAUUGAGCUAUGUGAUGUUUUUAUACAGGAGAAUGUUAUAAUUAGAGGCUCUUUUAAAAGAAGGAAUGUUUGCAGCAACAAAAAUGCCUUGAAACGGAGAAAGAUUGAAUGCUUCAAGGCUACAUCAAGUUGAAAGUUACAACAAGAGCUCUCAAAGAAGAAGCCAUUUCGCAAACCUGGAAAAUCAGAUGGACUGAAUCGCCGGACAUAUUCUUCUAGAACGAGUAACAUGUCAGUAAACUUGAUAAGGUCUUUAUGCUGGAUAAUAAAAAAUGUCUACAUCACAGUCUUUAAGCAGGUGGCACCUCCAGAUCACACAUGCAUUAGGACCUGGAUCUACCCUCAAAAUGCAGCACUUAAAGAAUGA